UGAUUAAAAAGAAAUAAAAAAAUAAAACAUACUCCGGACUGACUUUGGAGCCUCUUUUGAUGGCUCACGGGAGCCUCCCGGAACCUCAAAAACCCCCUUUUUUACCUUUGUCUUUCUUACCUUAAAAUUUAAAGCAAAGCGUAGAAGAAACUCCCGCACGUAAACGGAGCGUUGUAAAAGAUUGUGUUCAAUGAAUAAUGAAGCAUGUCCACAUGAUUGACUUGAUCAUUUUCUUGUGCGGAGGGGGAAAAGUGCGGCGCGGGGCUGCCGCGGCCGCCCGCUCCGGGUAGCCCUCCCAACUGCUUCCAGCACAUCCCGAGCAAAGAGCGCUUUAUUUUAAUCUGUCUCUUUUCAGAAUAACCCCCUUCAUUGAUACUGAUCACCCAACAUCACAAGACAUCCCCAUCUCUCAGCGUGGACUCCCCCUAUCUGGUGACUCUCAGUCUUCCUCUUGUCCAGACUCACGUCUCAGCCACUAGAACCAAUUACAGCAACUACAGAGACACACAGUUCACAGACACUACAGAGACCUAGAAGACAUGUCAAAUGUAACAGUAACAAAGUGAAACCCAAGACUUCAUUUCAGAAGUCAGUCUAUUUGGCUUUUCAAGGAUCUCAAGCGCAAAAGCAACAGCUCUGAAAUAUUUUUUAAACCUGCUGUCCAUCCUGUAACCCAGUUUCAUAGGUGGAAUCCGAGUGGUUUAAAUGUAGACAUCUUAAAAAUAAAGAAAUAUGCUAAACGUGUGACUGCAUUAAUAGUUCUCCACAGUUUUGUCUUACUACUUACAUUUCAGGACUUGUAU